CACUGAGGCGUGAUGACGAGGCACCACGGUGCUGAAGCAACAAAUGCCCUGCUUCCAGGAAAAGCCUCUAAGCCUCAGGUAACAUCAAAUCGUACCCCAAACCGACACAGGUGGUCAGGUAGAGAAUACCAAGGCGCUUGAGAGAACUCGGGUGAAGGAACUAGGCAAAAUGGUGCCGUAACUUCGGGAGAAGGCACGCUGACACGUAGGUGAAGUGGUUUACCCAUGGAGCUGAAGUCAGUCGAAGAUACCAGCUGGCUGCAACUGUUUAUUAAAAACACAGCACUGUGCAAACACGAAAGUGGACGUAUACGGUGUGACGCCUGCCCGGUGCCGGAAGGUUAAUUGAUGGGGUCAGCGCAAGCGAAGCUCCUGAUCGAAGCCCCGGUAAACGGCGGCCGUAACUAUAACGGUCCUAAGGUAGCGAAAUUCCUUGUCGGGUAAGUUCCGACCUGCACGAAUGGCGUAAUGAUGGCCAGGCUGUCUCCACCCGGGACUCAGUGAAAUUGAACUCGCUGUGAAGAUGCAGUGUACCCGCGGCAAGACGGAAAGACCCCGUGAACCUUUACUAUAGCUUGACACUGAACACUGGUCCUUGAUGUGCAGGAUAGGUGGGAGGCUUUGAAGUGUGGACGCCAGUCUGCAUGGAGCCAUCCUUGAAAUACCACCCUUUAAUGGCUGGUGUUCUAACGUGGGCCCGUGAACCGGGUUGCGGACAGUGUCUGGUGGGUAGUUUGACUGGGGCGGUCUCCUCCUAAAGAGUAACGGAGGAGCACGAAGGUUGGCUAAUCCUGGUCGGACAUCAGGAGGUUAGUGCAAUGGCAUAAGCCAGCUUGACUGCGAGCGUGACGGCGCGAGCAGGUGCGAAAGCAGGUCAUAGUGAUCCGGUGGUUCUGAAUGGAAGGGCCAUCGCUCAACGGAUAAAAGGUACUCCGGGGAUAACAGGCUGAUACCGCCCAAGAGUUCAUAUCGACGGCGGUGUUUGGCACCUCGAUGUCGGCUCAUCACAUCCUGGGGCUGAAGUAGGUCCCAAGGGUAUGGCUGUUCGCCAUUUAAAGUGGUACGCGAGCUGGGUUUAGAACGUCGUGAGACAGUUCGGUCCCUAUCUGCCGUGGGCGCUGGAAGAUUGAGGGGGGCUGCUCCUAGUACGAGAGGACCGGAGUGGACGCAUCACUGGUGUUCGGGUUGUCAUGCCAAUGGCACUGCCCGGUAGCUACAUGCGGAAGAGAUAAGUGCUGAAAGCAUCUAAGCACGAAACUUGCCCCGAGAUGAAUCUUCCCUGAGCCUUUAAGGCUCCUGAAGGAACGUUGAAGACGACGACGUUGAUAGGCCGGGUGUGUAAGCGCAGCGAUGCGUUGAGCUAACCGGUACUAAUGAACCGUGAGGCUUAACCUU
rnacentral:rRNA from 1 species